UUGGUUUGUUAAGUAUCAGAAGUCUAUUGGUUAUAACCACAGUUAAGAAUGGCAUCAAAGAUCACAUUCUUAUUGCUCUUUGCUCUCGUUGUCGCUUGUGCAACGAUGAUGAGUGUUCCGACAGUGGAAGCUACUUAUUGUUUAGAUUCUAAAGAUUGCCCAGAUGUACGAUGCAAGAUUGGGGAGAUAGAACGAUGCAGACAGAAUCACUGCACAUGUGUACCUCAAUUCAUGGUCAGCCAUGCAGGGUGACACAAGAUCGAUGCAACAAUCGUUAUCUAAUAAGUGUGUGAAUGGCUUCUGUACUUGUAAUAUUUAAUGCCUAUUAUCAUAAACAUAUGCAUAUUUCUUGUUGUACUAUCCUGGGAAUAUUUUCUUAUUGUUAUUAAUAACAUGUAUUCAGAAAGAGUUAUGUGUAUGUUUAAGAAUAUAGAUUGAAUAAAUUUUUAUUUUAUAUGAA